UCCGAUUGAUCUUGUCGGUGGCUUUCCUUUGUCUUGAAGGUUAAGCCAUGCAUGUCUAAGUAUGAACUGGUUUAAGGUGAAACUGCGUACGGCUCAUUACAUCAGCUAUAACUUUCUUUGAUCAUAAAUUCUAAAUGGAAUAACCGAGGAAAAGCCUGGGCUAAUACAUGCGACAAUUCCGGUAGUAAUAUCGGAAUGCUUUUAUUAGAUCAAAAACCUUCUAGUUCUUUAACCGGAACUGUUUGUUGGUGACUCUAAAUAACUUUGUGUUGAUCGUAUGACCUUUGUGUCGACGACAUAUCUUUCAAGUGUCUGACUUAUCAACUUUAGACGGUACAUUAUAUGUCUACCGUGGUUGUAACGAGUACAGAGAAUCAGGGUUUGGUUCUGGAGAGGCCGCCUGAGAAACGGCGACCACUUCCAAGGAAGGCAGCAGGGGCGCAAAUUACCCACUCUCAAAACGAGGAGGUAGCGAAGAGAAAUAACGAUGUUAGUCUUAUUUAGGCUGACAAUCGGAAUGGGAACACUGUAAACAGGUUAUCGAUUAACAAUUGGAGGGCAAGUCUGGUGCCAGCAGCCGCGGUAAUUCCAGCUCCAAUAAGGAAAACUAAAGUUGCUGUGUUUAAAAAGCUCGUAGUUGAAUUUCGGGUAUUUGUUGCUAGCUGGUCUAACUGGCCAUGUUGGUUAACAGAUCCUCAUUUGCUGGACGGCUGGCGAUGAUCUUUAUCGAUUGUCGUCAGUUGCCAGAACGUUUACUUUUGAGAAAAUUAGAGUGCUAAAAGCAGGCUUUCGCCUAUAUAUAUUGCAUGGAAUAAUGAAAUAAGAUCUCGAUUUUAUUUCGUUGGUUUUAGAAAUUGAGAUAAUGAUUAAUAGGAUCAGAGGGGGGCGUACGUACUGUGGUGUGAGAGGUGAAAUUCUUGGAUCGCCACAGGACGAACAGCAGCGAAGGCGUUCGCCAAGAAUGUUUUCUAUUAAUCAAGAACGAAAGUUUGAGGUUCGAAGACGAUUAGAUACCGUCCUAGUUCAAACCAUAAACGUUGCCAACUGUCUUUUUAGGUGCGGUUAUUUAUAUGRCUCAUCUGGCGGAUCUCGAGAAAUCUAAGUUUUUAGGUUCCGGGGGAAGUAUGGUUGCAAAGCUGAAACUUAAAAGAAUUGACGGAAGGACACACAAGAAGUGGAGCCUGUGGCCUAAUUUGACUCAACACGGGAAACCUUACUCGGCCAGGACACUUUUUAGGAUUGACAGAUUGAGAGCUCUUUCUUGAUUAGGUGGGUGGUGGUGCAUGGUCGUUCGUAGUUCGUGGAGCGAUUUGUCUGAUUAAUUUCGAUAACGAACGAGACUCCGGCUU
rnacentral:rRNA from 1 species